rnacentral:rRNA from 1 species
AUGGCCUACUCCGCCAUGGGUGGGGACAUGGCCUACUCCGCCAUAGGUGGUAGCUCCGGCGAGGGUUCGGUUGUUCCCCGGCGGACGACUUCAGCUCCGGCGAGCGCCUUCGAUCUCAGGCGACAAAGUUCUGCUACGCGCAUGUACCAGAUCCUCCAAUUGUUUUCUCUGAUGCUCCUCCGGCUGGAUCCGCUGCAAAUUGGAGAAUGCAACAGCACUGCAUGUUUGCUUGCUUUAAAUUCAGAGGAUCAUACCAAAGAUGGGGCAGCAAAUGAGGAGAGUUUUGUUCAGCAACCUUUCACAAGUCAUGGUGGUGGGGAUUCAGAUGGUGUCCUAAACACUCACGGUGGAAUGCAUGAUGCAGAUGAGGAUGAUGAUAUUUCAUCUCAGCCACUUCUGCCCUAUGUUGGCAUGGAAUUUGACUCAAUUGAAGAUGCCCAAAAGUUCUAUAAUGACUACGCAUUUGGAACGGGUUUUGGCUCACGCAUAGCUUCCUCAAAAAACAGCCAGAAGAAAGGUCCACAACAACUUAUCAAGAGGGUCUUCCAAUGUGUGCAUGCUGGCAAACCGGAGACUACAUGUGAGACAAGCAGCCACUCGGAAGGAAUUGCAGCAGGGGGAAGCUCAUCAAGCAAGCAGGCCGGGGUUGAAAUGGAUGUGACAGUCAAGCGUCAGAGGAAUCAGAUUAUGCGUUAUGAUUGCAAAGCUCAUAUGAUUGUUGGCCUCAGGGGCAAUAAGUGGGUUGUUACCUACUUUGUUGCACAGCAUACACACCUUUUGAUGCAGCAUGAGGAGAUUGUGAGGUUCUACCGCUCACACCGCAAAAUUCCAGAAGAAGAUUACCAACUACUGAUAACAAUGCAUGAUGUGAACUUGUCAACUGAUGACAAUAUACUUGAUUGCCCAUCUUCACGAAAAGGGGUUGGCCCCGGCCGGCUUGGAUCUAACGAGAGAAGCGAAGUGGGUAGCGGAGGAGCAGCUGCCUUGCAGGCGCAUGGCAAUGGUGGCAUGGCCGCUGCGCAUGACGCAGACAGCAGGGACAGCGCGCCUGCGGAGUCCUGGGAAUUUGAGAUGAAGCCGGAUUCAUGGGCACCGGGGUGGAUUAAGAGCUUUGGAAUUGUAAAAACACAACAAGUUUACAAUUUAAAAAGUUCCCCCGGUUGCUUCUUCCUGCUUUCUCCGUCCGCCGCCCAAGCCACCGUCGGCACCCGUCGUAGGGCCGAGCGCGUGACGACGGCCACGACCUGCGCCGCCGCUGUGAACCACCGCCGCCCGUGCCCACCUACGCCACCCGAGGCGAGCUGCACUACCGCUGUGAACCAACGCCGCCCGCGCCCACCUGCGCCGUCCACCUGCUCCUCCGCGGCGACCACCUCGACGGGCGGCGGCUCCACGGCUGAAUGGCGCUGCACCGCCGCCAUCCUCUCCCGCCGUCACCCCUUCUGCCUCCUAGGGCUGCGCCGCUAUCCCCUCCCGCCAGCCAGGGCCUGCGCCGCCGCCAGGACCUGCGCGCGCCUGGGUCUCGAGCGCCUGGACCUGGAGCUCCCGGCGGGCCUGGAAUUGAAGCUCAUCCUCAACCUCGAGGCCCCUGUCGUCUCCCCCACUCCUCUCCUAGACCUGCUGCUCGUCUAUAAGUUGCUGCUCCUCCCAGGCGGGCUUGCUCGUGCUGCUGACCGGAGCUACCCUGCUUGUGCUGCUGCCGGUGAGAAGAAGCUCCAAUUUCUGAUCCUUGCACUUGUUCAUUAA